UACGGAGGAUCCGAGCGUUAUCCGGAUUUAUUGGGUUUAAAGGGUGCGCAGGCGGGAGAUUAAGUCGGCGGUGAAAUUUUGCAGCUUAACUGUAACAGUGCCGUUGAUACUGGGGAGCUAGGAUUUGGUUGCUGUGGGUGGAAUGCGUGGUGUAGCGGUGAAAUGCUUAGAGAUCACACAGAAUAUCGAUUGCGAAGGCAGCUCACAAAGCCAAGAUUGACGCUGAGGCACGAAAGUGUGGGGAUCAAACAGGAUUA
rnacentral:rRNA from 1 species